GACGAACGCUGGCGGCGUGCUUAACACAUGCAAGUCGAACGGAAAGGCCCUGCUUUUGUGGGGUGCUCGAGUGGCGAACGGGUGAGUAACACGUGAGUAACCUGCCCUUGACUUUGGGAUAACUUCAGGAAACUGGGGCUAAUACCGGAUAGGAGCUCCUGCUGCAUGGUGGGGGUUGGAAAGUUUCGGCGGUUGGGGAUGGACUCGCGGCUUAUCAGCUUGUUGGUGGGGUAGUGGCUUACCAAGGCUUUGACGGGUAGCCGGCCUGAGAGGGUGACCGGCGACAUUGGGACUGAGAGAGGGCCCAGACUCCUACGGGAGGCAGCAGUGGGGAGUAUUGCACAGUGGGCGGAAGCCUGAUACAGCGACGCCGCGUGCGGGAUGACGGCCUACGGGUUGUAAACCGCUUUCGCCUGUGACGAAGCGUGAGUGACGGUAAUGGGUAAAGAAGCACCGGCUAACUACGUG
rnacentral:rRNA from 1 species